UAGAGUUUGAUCCUGGCUCACAUCGAACGCUGGCGGCAUGCCUUACACAUGCAAGUCGGACGGCAGCGCGGGCUUCGGCCUGGCGGCGAGUGGCGAACGGGUGAGUAAUACAUCGGAACAUGUCCAGNNNNNNGGGAUAGCCCGGCGAAAGCCGGAUUAAUACCGCAUACGAUCUGUGGAUGAAAGCGGGGGAUCGCAAGACCUCGCGCUAUUGGGGUGGCCGAUGGCGGAUUAGCUAGUUGGUGGGGUAAAGGCCUACCAAGGCGACGAUCCGUAGCUGGUCUGAGAGGACGACCAGCCACACUGGGACUGAGACACGGCCCAGACUCCUACGGGAGGCAGCAGUGGGGAAUUUUGGACAAUGGGCGCAAGCCUGAUCCAGCAAUGCCGCGUGUGUGAAGAAGGCCUUCGGGUUGUAAAGCACUUUUGUCCGGAAAGAAAUCCUUUUCGAUAAUACCGAGAGGGGAUGACGGUACCGGAAGAAUAAGCACCGGCUAACUACGUGCCAGCAGCCGCGGUAAUACGUAGGGUGCGAGCGUUAAUCGGAAUUACUGGGCGUAAAGCGUGCGCAGGCGGUGAUGCAAGACCGAUGUGAAAUCCCCGGGCUUAACCUGGGAACUGCAUUGGUGACUGCAUCGUUAGAGUAUGGCAGAGGGGGGUAGAAUUCCACGUGUAGCUGUGAAAUGCGUAGAGAUGUGGAGGAAUACCGAUGGCGAAGGCAGCCCCCUGGGUCAAUACUGACGCUCAUG
rnacentral:rRNA from 1 species